GACGAACGCUGGCGGCGUGCCUAAUACAUGCAAGUCGAGCGGAUCUUCAUUAGCUUGCUUUUGAAGAUCAGCGGCGGACGGGUGAGUAACACGUGGGCAACCUGCCUGUAAGGCUGGGAUAAUUUCGGGAAACCGGAGCUAAUACCGGAUAAUCCUUUUCAUCUCAUGAGGAAAAGCUGAAAGACGGUUUCGGCUGUCACUUACAGAUGGGCCCGCGGCGCAUUAGCUGGUGGGUGAGGUAACGGCCAACCAAGGCGACGAUGCGUAGCCGAGCGGAGAGGGUGAUCGGCCACCCUGGGACUGAGACACGGCCCAGACUCCUACGGGAGGCAGCAGUAGGGAAUCUUCCGCAAUGGACGAAAGUCUGACGGAGCAACGCCGCGUGAGCGAUGAAGGCCUUCGGGUCGUAAAGCUCUGUUGUCAGGGAAGAACAAGUACCGGAGUAACUGCCGGUACCUUGACGGUACCUGACCAGAAAGCCACGGCUAACUACGUGCCAGCAGCCGCCGUAAAAC
rnacentral:rRNA from 1 species